AAUUAUUUUAUACGUUUUUCAGUCCUCCUAGAAUAGCGCUAAAGUAGGUUUUAUAGAUUGUAUCAACAAUAGGCUUCCGUCAAUGGAAUGAUAGAAAUGGCUUAGAAAUGAACCGGACCAAUGAGUGUGCGGUGGGCGCGUCCUCCUGCCUCUGCUGCUGAAAACAGCAUGUUCAGAAGCGCCAGGCUCGCACGGAGCGGAGAGGAGAGGAGUGUAUAAAUAUCAGAGUGCCUCUUCUCUCCGCUAUACCAGACCUGACACAUGACCUAGUUGUCCCUGUCACAUCUCCUGUGUGUCCUCACCAAGACCGCACUUCCCGAAGGAGUCGACUAGACAACGGUUGGUUUAUUCUACAGGUGCCUUUGGCCUCAUCCCCCUGUGAGCCCCUGCUAAUCCACAUUAAGCCCUACGAAGUGCACACUCUAAAGUGCACACUCUGGAGAAAACUUCUCUUCUGCCAGUAA
rnacentral:lncRNA from 8 species